rnacentral:rRNA from 1 species
UACAGAGGUCUCAAGCGUUUGUUCGGAUUCAUUGGGCGUAAAGGGUGCGUAGGUGGCGUCGUAAGUCGGGUGUGAAAUUUCGGAGCUUAACUCCGAAACUGCAUUCGAUACUGCGGUGCUUGAGGACUGGAGAGGAGACUGGAAUUUACGGUGUAGCAGUGAAAUGCGUAGAUAUCAGGAGGAAUACCGAUGGCGAAGGCAGGUCUCUGGGCUGACACUGACGCUCAUGCACGAAAGCGUGGGGAGCAAAUGGG